AUUGAACGCUGGCGGCAGGCCUAACACAUGCAAGUCGAGCGGAGCGGCGGACGGAUGAGUAAUGCCUAGGAAUCUGCCUGGUAGUGGGGGAUAACGUCCGGAAACGGGCGCUAAUACCGCAUACUAUCAGAUGAGCCUAGGUCGGCUUAGCUAGUUGGUGGGGUAAAGGCUUACCAAGGCGACGAUCCGUACCUGGUCUGAGUGGAUGAUUAGUCACGUAGGAACUGAGACACGGUCCAGACUCCUACGGGAGGCAGCAGUAGGGAAUCUUGUGCAAUGGGCGAAAGCCUGAUCCAGCCAUGCCGCGUGUGUGAAGAAGGUCUUCGGAUUGUAAAGCACUUUAAGUUGGGAGGCGUUACCAACAAAAUAAGCACCGGCUAACUUCGUGCCAGCAGCCGCGGUAAUAC
rnacentral:rRNA from 1 species